rnacentral:rRNA from 1 species
CGGUGCCAGCCGCCCCGGUAACACCGGCGGCUCGAGUGGUAACCGUUAUUAUUGGGUCUAAAGGGUCUGUAGCCGGCCGGAUAAGUCUCUUGAGAAAUCUGGCAGCUUAACUGUCAGGCUUUCAGGAGAUACUGUCUGGCUCGAGGCCGGGAGAGGUGAGAGGUACUUCAGGGGUAGGGGUGAAAUCUUGUAAUCCUUGAAGGACCACCAGUGGCGAAGGCGUCUCACCAGAACGGACCUGACGGCAAGGGACGAAAGCUAGGGGCACGAACCGGAUUAGAUCCCCGGGUAGUCCUAGCCGUAAACGAUACUCGCUAGGUGUCGGCCACGGUGCGACCGUUGUCGGUGCCGUAGGGAAGCCGUGAACCGAGCCACCUGGAAAGUCCGGCCCGCAAGGCUGAAAUUUAAAGGCAUUGGUCGGGU